GAUUAUAUAUUAUAAAUGUAUAAUAAGUUGAGUUUGUAACUCAAAGAUACUUCCUAAAAGUUUUAAUCA
rnacentral:tRNA from 1 species